rnacentral:rRNA from 1 species
UACCAGCUCUCCGAGUGGCAGGGAUGAUUAUUGGGCUUAAAGCGUCCGUAGCCGGCUUAGCAAGUCUCCUGUUAAAUUCAGCGACCUAAUCGUUGAGCCGCGGGAGACACUACUAGGCUAGGAGGCGGGAGAGGCCGACGGUAUUCUCGGGGUAGGGGUGAAAUCCUAUAAUCCCGGGAGGACCACCAGUGGCGAAGGCUGUCGGCUAGAACGCGCUCGACGGUGAGGGACGAAAGCUGGGGGAGCGAACCGGAUUAGAUACCCGGGUAGUCCCAGCUGUAAACGAUGCGGGCUAGGUGUUGGGGUGGCUACGAGCCACUUCAGUGCCGCAGGGAAGCCAUUAAGCCCGCCGCCUGGGGAGUACGGCCGCAAGGCUGAAACUUAAAGGAAUUGGCGGGGAGCACCACAAGGCGUGAAGCUUGCGGUUC